rnacentral:tRNA from 1 species
UGGGAUGUAGCGCAAAUGGAGAGAGCAACGGGCUUCUAAGCCGUGGGGUAUGGGUUCGAGUCCCAUCAUCCCAA